GAAAACAAACAAGCAAACAAGCAAACAAACCAGCCAGUGGGGCAGGUAGCCUGUCAACCCAGCACUCUGGAGACAGCGCUUUGAAGAUCACUGAUCAGUCUGCUACGUUCCAGGCCAGAGACCCAAGAAAAUAGAAAAGACACAAAAGAAAGAAGAUGGAUGUUACCUGAGGAAUGCUGCCUGAGGUGACCAAAAUUUAUGACAUGGCCACCCAUGACUUCACAGAGUGAAAAAAGCACAUACAGUCUUACUGUCUGAGAGGAGUGAAGAUUGUUUGAGGGCACAAAGGACAAUGACGGAGAAAGAACGUGCUAAGAAAAAGUGUUUCCUGAAGCCUCUGCCCUUUGCCUCGUGUGGAAGCUUCUGUCUCCCAGGCUGAGCACCUCGUGGGCGGCAAGCGCUCAACACUUCAUGGAUAUUAUUUCUGAUCCACACGACAUCCUGUUAGGUAGAUACUGUUGUUACCUUCCGCGCACAGAUGAAGUUACUGAGGACCAGAAAGGUCUUGUGGUUGCCAGAGGCAGAUGGCACAGGGAGUGAAAAAUGAUGCUUGCGAAGCCCUCAGGUCAGCUUGAUUCCGGAGACUGUGUUCUUUGGUUCCCUGGAGGAGGAUGCCCAAUAUGACCGACAGCACUCCUGUUGUAACAGAAGGACCCUGAGCUUCAAAAUAUGGAGACCUGCUUCAGCCAGUUCUACAGGGAUGAGAGAGAAAGGGGGAAAUUACUUAGAAUGGCACCAACUAGAGAGAACCCCUAAUAUUUUAGGCAUGCCCUUGCUAAUUUGUAACCUGCUUCUUCAAAUAACAAUGCAUCCUGUGCUCUUUUCCAAUAAAGAGAGCUGUGGUUUUUAA
rnacentral:sRNA from 1 species